AUGACCAUACUUGAACAAGAUCUGUUCUAUAUAGGUUGUACAACUGUGUCCUUGAGUUCUAAGGAGACAAGAAUCAAAGUCUGGUGGAUGAAUAGCUGCCUUGUGACUAGAGCAUGAUUAACUAUCAGCCUCAAAUCGUUUUCAGCAGGCUAGCCUGUCGGAAUGGUCGCAAGGUGGUUUGACAGACU